rnacentral:rRNA from 1 species
ACCAGCCACACUGGAACUGAGACACGGUCCAGACACCUACGGGUGGCAGCAGUCGAGAAUUUUUCUCAAUGGGCGAAAGCUUGAAGGAGCGACGCCGCGUGGGGGAUGAAGGGCUUCGGCCUGUAAACCCCUGUCAUUUGCGAACAAACCUGCUUAUUUAAAAGAUGGGCAGCUGAUAGUAGCGAAAGAGGAAGGGACGGCUAACUCUGUGCCAGCAGCCGCGGUAAUACAGAGGUCCCAAGCGUUGUUCGGAUUCACUGGGCGUAAAGGGUGCGUAGGUGGUGAUGUAAGUUCGAUGUGAAAUCUCCGGGGCUUAACCCGGAAACUGCAUUGAAUACUAUAUUGCUUGAGGGUCGGAGGGGAGACUGGAAUUCUCGGUGUAGCAGUGAAAUGCGUAGAUAUCGAGAGGAACACCAGUGGCGAAAGCGAGUCUCUGG